GAUAAAGGUAGGCAUGCUAAAAAACCACGACGUCCUGUCGUAACGCAUGCAUGACCCACAUCCUGUGGG
rnacentral:sRNA from 1 species